rnacentral:hammerhead_ribozyme from 1 species
GUACUGCUGAAGAUUCCCAAACCAGGACGAAACAGCUGUCCAGUAC